UAGGGAAUCUUCGGCAAUGGACGAAAGUCUGACCGAGCAACGCCGCGUGGGUGAAGAAGGUUUUCGGAUCGUAAAACUCUGUUGGUAGAGAAGAACGUUGGUGAGAGUGGAAAGCUCAUCAAGUGACGGUAACUACCCAGAAAGGGACGGCUAACUACGUGCCAG
rnacentral:rRNA from 1 species